CCUACGGGAGGCAGCAGUAGGGAAUAUUGCUCAAUGGGGGAAACCCUGAAGCAGCAACGCCGCGUGGAGGAUGAAGGUUUUCGGAUUGUAAACUCCUUUUGUUAGAGAAGAUAAUGACGGUUUCUAACGACUAAGCUCCGGCUACCUCCGUGCCAGCAGCCGCGGUAAUACGGAGGGUGCAAGCGUUACUCGGAAUCACUGGGCGUAAAGAGCGCGUAGGCGGGAUAGCAAGUCAGAUGUGAAAUCCUAUGGCUUAACCAUAGAACUGCAUUUGAAACUGGUAUUCUAGAGUAUGGGAGAGGUAGGUGGAAUUCUUGGUGUAGGGGUAAAAUCCGUAGAGAUCAAGAGGAAUACUCAUUGCGAAGGCGACCUGCUAGAACAUAACUGACGCUGAUGCGCGAAAGCGUGGGGAGCAAACAGGAUUAGAUACCCCAGUAGUC
rnacentral:rRNA from 1 species